rnacentral:rRNA from 1 species
GGGGAAUUUUCCGCAAUGGGCGAAAGCCUGACGGAGCAAUACCGCGUGAGGGAGGAAGGCUCUUGGGUCGUAAACCUCUUUUCUCAGGGAAGAACACAAUGACGGUACCUGAGGAAUAAGCAUCGGCUAACUCCGUGCCAGCAGCCGCGGUAAUACGGAGGAUGCAAGCGUUAUCCGGAAUGAUUGGGCGUAAAGCGUCCGCAGGUGGCUAUGUAAGUCUGCUGUUAAAGAGUCUAGCUCAACUAGAUAAGAGCAGUGGAAACUACAUGGCUAGAGUGCGUUCGGGGCAGAGGGAAUUCCUGGUGUAGCGGUGAAAUGCGUAGAGAUCAGGAAGAACACCGGUGGCGAAGGCGCUCUGCUAGGCCGCAACUGACACUGAGGGACGAAAGCUAGGGGAGCGAAUGGGAUUAGAUACCCC